CGUCUGAGGUGAUUUUGGAUCCAUGUGCUCCAUCCGGCAGAUCAAAGUUAAACGUCUCUCCCUCCGGCAAGGAAAUAUGGCAGUUGAAAACGCUCCUCAUAACUUCAAAGAGAAUGGGCGGGGCUAAACUGCUGUAGGCUAAAGCUUCUGCACUACUGGUUCAGUGUCACUGUUUUGUUGAAGAUGGUCCACCACCCAAACAAUAUCUGGCCAGCAGUGGUCUUGACCAAUGAUGAGUGGAAAAGGAGGGCUGAU